rfam:Gossypium arboreum cultivar AKA8401 contig_51389_3, whole genome shotgun sequence.
UAUUAAAAUUUCAUCUAUUUAUAUUGGUAAAAACUUGUAUUGUUGAUAGAAUAACUGAAUAGUAACAUGUAACGUGUUAUAUAUAUCUCAUGUCAGCAUAUAGAGAUAAAUUUUUAGUAAUAUAAAUGGAUAAAUUUUUUAAUA